rnacentral:snoRNA from 1 species
UCUUGGCGAGCUGUGGUGUGUUUGAAAGAAUUCCGUAAAAUGUGUACUCUAAUGCAAGGCCAUGUGGUCUUACAUUUGAAAAGAAAGAAAAGCUAAAAUAUCAAUCUCAUGCAACUGCAAUGAAUGGAUUAAAAGUAAGUGAACAUUAAAAUGCAUGAAUUUAAUAGUUACUUGAUGAUUGUUCUUUUUCUGAAGAGUCGAGUGCCAAGUCGCAAGAUUUGGCAUUCUUUUCCUGUAGAAAGAAUAAGAACGGCCAACUGAUAAACUAAAUUUAACAACUGAAUUGCUUUAAAAUGCAAUUGUGGGAAGCAAAUAACUAAGUUCUCAUUUUUUUUUGUUCUAGAAUGUGAAAAAACACGUGGCGAGCGGUGAAAAGAGAGGGACAGCCGGCAUUGCACGCGAUGGUAUGUAGUCUUCUCUUUCUAACAUACAUUCAUGAAUGAGACUUCUUUGCAUUCAUAAUUGAGAAGUGUUUUUCUGAUGAUAAGUUCAAUCUGAACAAAGUGCUGUUGAUUUACAACUUAAAAUUAAACCAAAAGGAUUCUGAUAAAAUCAUAAAUGUAUAAGUUUUGAAAACAGAAAAUGAGUAUACAUUAACCCUAGUUUUUCGUUUUUAUUUUUAGCUCUGUGAAAAAGAAGCCGCCAUUUUUUGAAGCAUUUUGGAAAAAUGUGAUCGAGGUGAGAUAAAUAUGACUUAAUUGUUUUAAAAAAGAUUGUACCUGAUGAUAAGUUUAAUCUGAACAAAGUGCUGUUGAUUCACAACUUAAAAUUAAACCAAAAGGAUUCUGAAAUCAAUUAAUUAGUAUUUUCUAUGAAUGAAAAUGAAAUUGCAGACCUAACCUAAGAUUUCGUUUCUUUCAGAAUAAUGUGACAAUUUUGUGAAUCUUUCUUUGACGGCAAUUCAUUUUUUUCGAGGUAAUUUAAACUUAAAUUACUAUAUAACACUAAAAUCAGUUUAAUUGAUGAUAAGUAAUUACCGUUUGAUAUCCGUGAUAUUAAACCCCAAGGCUGCUAUUUAAUAGUAACUGAUUCGAUAUUCAAGUAGUAUACAUUUAUUUUAUUGGAACAUAUCACUAAUCAAAAUGUAUAUUUACAGAUUACAUCCAUCAGAUACAUGGAAAAUAAUAAAAUGGAUCAGUCGUGACAUAAGGUAAGAAAACUUGUUUAUUUUGUUUGUAUGUUUUUUUUUUAUUGAUGAAAGUAAUUACCGUACGACUUUUGUGAUUAAAUUUAAAUGGCUGCAAAUUUUGCAACUGAAAUUCAAUAUAAAUAAAAAUUGUAAUUAGUACUUUUUGAUUUGCUAACUCUGGUUUUAUCUUCUUUUGCAGAUUCGAAAGGAUACGUCAUGCUAAAACAAGCUGAAUUCAUUUGUUGGAAGCGCAAUUAAGGUAAGAUUUAAAUGAAAUUUGGUAAUAUGCUGCACAAGUUUAAAUGAUGAAUACCUUUAUCUAUUAACUUUCGUUCUACUGAGUGGUAAAUGCGGAUAUAUUUUUCUGAUUCAUAAAAACCAAGCAGCAUUUUGUAUAUAAAAACCCAUUAGAAGUCAUUAUUAACAAUAACUUUUUUUUACAGACCUGUGCCACUUUCUGUUUAUCGAGGGACUCUUACGGUCAAGAUCGUCCUAAGAUGGUAGGUGUUCUUCAAAGUUUCGCACUCAUUGUUUAUAUGAUGUUACUUCUAGUAUAGUUCAUUAGAAACACACAUGUUACAAACUUUUCGAAGCUGAUAUAGCAUUUCAUUUUCAUUAAUUCAAUGGUUUUUGAUCAUAUUAUUGACAAUGAAUAAUUUUUUGCAUUUUAGAUGUGACCCAGAUGCUUAAUCCAGAUCAUUUGAUGAGAUACUUAAUACUUAAGGUAAGCAGAUAUAGAUAUUGCUUAGAUACGAAUUUCUUUGAUAAGCGUUUCAUAUGAUGAAAUUUUCCUAUCUCAGGAUUCCCUCUUCUGAGUAGAACCCUAAAACAACCGUGCUGUUCACUUUCCCUGUCUGAAAUAAACGCUUUACAAAUGAAAUUGAAUGUUAUAUGCUUUAAAUAUGUAGCAGCUAACCAAACCAAUUUCUCUAAAAUUACAGAUACAUCUUAAAUCUAAAAAACUGGACUUCAGAAGAACUAUAAAGGUAAAUUACCAUUAUUUUUUUGUAGUUAUUUAUUUAGAAUGAUGAUAUUUUCCGUCCGUGGAACUUAUACAAAGUAAAAUCAUGCUGACAUUUUAUGUCUUCUUUCCCCAACUGAUUAUUAACUUCAAAUUUACGCUUGAUGGCACUUAAAUAUCAGGAUGCUAAUUGUUAUUUUAUUUCUGUUGCAGGUUUCGUUUUAAAAUAUCGAUUAAACUGAUUGAUGAAUCAAAACUUCUCGAAUGAAAAGGUAAUUAAAUAAAAAUUGUAAUUCUGUGUUCGAAAUGAUGACAAUACAGUCCGUGGUUUUACACUGAGACAAAGCCAUGCUGUUUGAUAAGUCAUUUUUCCCCAACUGAUACAUUUCAAAUUUGGAAUAUUUUUAACAUUUAUAUUCAUAUUUCUAAUUUCAAUAUUUCUUAUUGCAGACUUCUUCACGCACAAAGGCAAAUGAUCCAUUGAUUUGGUAGUAACUUACGUCUUUUUGAAAAGGUAUAUAAAACUAAAUUUCACAUUAACAUUUAUUUAAAAUGAGGAAAAAAAAGUCCGAUAUUUUUACUGAGCAAAUCCAUGCUGUAUAAGAGAUUUCCCCAACUGAUAAAAUUAUUCAUAUAUCAGACGGAGCGAACCAUAUUUUUGAAUAAAGACUAAUUUGUUUUUAUUUUAUCUUACAGGUUUAUCUACAACCAAUAACUAUCUACAACAAUAACAAACGGAAUAUAUUUUUCUAUAAUAAAAAUGCAAAUAAAUGACUACUGAAUUCAAGUACUAAAA